GAGCAGUGGAGGAUGCAGCAGGUCAGCAGGCGGAGCCCUCCAUGGGAGCCCAGGAGAACCACAAGGGUCCUCAGCUUCGGAUCAGCGCGGUGCACCGGCCGCGGCGGCCAUUGGAGGGUGAACCAGCGGCAAAGGAAGACCUUUCUCUCUGUCUCUCUCUCUCACUGUCCACUCUGCCUGUCAAAAAAAGAAAAAAAAAGGUAGGGCUUGAGGCCCAGACCACGCAUCACAGCACCACGGAAGGAAUCCCCAUGAUGCCAGGUGACAGGAGAAGGAACAUGACCGGGUGGGGAGGGGGGUGCGGCAAGGAAGCUGCUGGCUCUUCCGGGUGUCUGGGAAUUGGUGCAGAAGGCAUACAGGGGAAUUGGUCCAGGCAUAAAUAUUCAAGCUUUCCCUUCUCCCUUGCAUAGCUGACAGCGAGAAGCGAGCCAAGUUCCACUGCCUUUCCCAGUCCUGCCCAUUAUCAGCACGGGCUAAAGGGCCCAGAGCUCAAAUGAAUUUAGAACAGGCAUUAAAAAAAUAUGUGAGGGUUUUAUGAGCCGAGGCCUGGGUCACCCGCUCCCUCAACGCACCUGCUGCAGUCCAGGCCUGGAGCCCCGAGGCAGAUCUGGCCACAGGACUGCAGCCUGUGCAGCUGCCCCAAGGCCGCGGUCCUGGCUGGAUGUCUCCAGUGGACGGAAGCUGGGGAGGAGGGAGGCCCAGGCCAGCAUGAGCCCCUCCGAAAAUGCAAACUCCCCUCCUGGGGGUCAGCCAGCUGCACAGACCUUCAGUACCGCCAGGCAGCGAGGAAGGUAUCAGGCUGAGGGUGCGGGUGCCCGCAGGGGCAGCGGGGUACGGUCCAGGAGGCAGAGGGUACAGCACUGAGUGGCCAGCAGGGGUGGGGUGAGCAGCCCUUCAGCUGGGACAGUUUAUGCAGCCCUGGCUUCAGGCUGCUGGGCAGGAAGGGGAGGGAGCUCGGAGGCGGCCCUGGUGGACUUUCUGCUCAGGCUACUGCGCUGCCCAGCCUGGCCAGGCAACGGUCCCCUCUGCUGUGUGGACCAGCUCUCCAGGAAAGCAGCCUGCCCCUGCCCGCUUCCCGGCGACCCCGACGGGGAGCCAUCUGCCCUGUAUGUGGCUCCUGGUUCCACAGACACACGAGGCCUCUCCAGUGACUCCUUGGGGAUUCAAACAGCUUUAAACUUUGCCGCGGCCAGACUCACUGAAAUGAAGUCAAUCUGCAGAGGCCCAGCCUCCAACACCCAUUGUGCACGAUGGUGCUUUGUGCUGUGCUGGGCCACAGACGGUCUCAUGGCAGGCCCAGGACCUGGACACCUGGCUGUGCUGUGCCGUGUGUGUCUGCUUCCCUAGGCCCAUGUCAGAGUAACUCAGGACGCGGCAGGUGCAGGCGCCCCAGUGGUACCCAACGUGUCCCUUGUUCUCAGUCUGACAGCAGUGUCAUACACAGGGGUCUUCCGCAAGUUCACGUCAGGAGAAAACCAUCAGGGAUGUGACCUUUUUUUUUUUUUUUUUUGCACCGUAAUAAAGUUAUCUUUUCAUUCCA
rnacentral:lncRNA from 1 species